rnacentral:tRNA from 1 species
GCGGGUGUAGCUCAGUGGUAGAGCGCCUCCCUGCCACGGAGGAGGUCGCGGGUUCGAAUCCCGUCACCCGCUCCA